rnacentral:sRNA from 3 species
AUGUACCGCUUGUACAUUGCGGUUCUGAGCACGCCGUCCGCGCCCACCUCACGGCCACUCGCUAAGUUUUAUUAGCC